rnacentral:rRNA from 1 species
UACGUUGGUCCCGAGCGUUGUCCGGAUUUAUUGGGCGUAAAGCGAGCGCAGGUGGUUUAUUAAGUCUGGUGUAAAAGGCAGUGGCUCAACCAUUGUAUGCAUUGGAAACUGGUAGACUUGAGUGCAGGAGAGGAGAGUGGAAUUCCAUGUGUAGCGGUGAAAUGCGUAGAUAUAUGGAGGAACACCGGGCGAAAGCGGCUCUCUGGCCUGUAACUGACACUGAGGCUCGAAAGCGUGGGGAGCAAGCAGG